rnacentral:rRNA from 1 species
AGAGCGAACGCUGGCGGCAGGCCUAACACAUGCAAGUCGAGCGCGUGUAGCAACACACGAGCGGCAGACGGGAGAGUAACACGUGGGAACGCGCCCUUCGGUUCGGAAUAACUCAGGGAAACUUGAGCUAAUACCGGAUACGCCCUUACGGGGGAAAGAUUUAUUGCCGAAGGAACGGCCCGCGUCCGAUUAGCUAGUUGGUGAGGUAACGGCUCACCAAGGCGACGAUCGGUAGCUGGUCUGAGAGGAUGACCAGCCUCACUGGGACUGAGACACGGCCCAGACUCCUACGGGAGGCAGCAGUGGGGAAUAUUGGACAAUGGGCGCAAGCCUGAUCCAGCCAUGCCGCGUGGAUGAUGAAGGCCUUAGGGUUGUAAAGUCCUUUUAACGGGGAAGAUAAUGACGGUACCCGUAGAAUAAGCCCCGGCUAACUUCGUGCCAGGAGCCGC